UCAGCUCUGCUGCAUAAGCUCUCUGUUUUCCUUUGCUCACUAGCAAAAGACCCUCCAUUUCUUGAAAUUUGAUCGCACCCAAAUUAAAAAAAGCUUCGACAAAUGGCAUCCCAGAAAAGCGCAAAUGAAUCAAAUCAUGCUCAUGCUCUUCCAGUUCCACCCAGAAGAGGGCGGAUUAUAUUGAAGAUUUUGAAGUCAAUUGCAAAAUCAGCUGCCGGAAUUGUGGCCAAGGCCUGUGGCUCCCAAAGGAGGGACGAGGGUCCGGGUAGCGUCCCCUCAGCUCAACUUCGACAACCCUACAUGAAAAUUCCGGAUGGGCUCGACUCCAAAUGCUGAUUCCUGAAACAUUUACUAUUAGUAAUUCCAAAUGUUGUUGUAUGUACGGUACUAGGUGGUUGGAUAUUAGCAAGUGUUUUCCAGCUUCUCAAUCUCCUCUUGCAUUAGUUUUUGAGGUUCGUGGACUAGAUUAUAAAAGGAGGGUUUUUUUUUUUACAAUGAGUUCUGCUUGUGACUCGAUUGAAGCUGAGUUGCGAGUGUGACUCAAUUUUGUUCUCGUACUACUAAUGACUCAAUAUGUGCAUAUGCAACAGCUCUUGUUCUUGUACU
rnacentral:lncRNA from 1 species